rnacentral:rRNA from 1 species
AUUGAACGCUGGCGGCAGGCCUAACACAUGCAAGUCGAACGAGUGGCGGACGGGUGAGUAAUGUCUGGGUAAAUGCCCGCUGGAGGGGGAUAACUACUGUAAACGGUAGCUAAUACCGCAUACCCUCGGAUGAGCCCAGAUGGGAUUAGCUAGGGGGUGGGGGAACGGCUCACCUAGGCGACGAUCCCUAGCUGGGCGGAGAGGAUGACCAGUCAACCUGGACUGGAGACACGGUCCAGACUCCUACGGGAGGCAGCAGUGGGGAGUUUUGCACAAUGGGCACGAGCCUGGUGCAGCCAUGCCGAGUGUAUGAAGAAGGCUGUCGGGUUGUAAAGUACUUUCAGCGAUGAGGCGUUACUCGCAGAAGAAGCACCGGCUAACUCCGUGCCAGCAGCCGCGGUAAUUC